rnacentral:rRNA from 1 species
GAUGAACGCUAGCGGGAGGCCUAACACAUGCAAGCCGAGCGGUAGAGAUCUUUCGGGAUCUUGAGAGCGGCGUACGGGUGCGGAACACGUGUGCAACCUGCCUUUAUCUGGGGGAUAGCCUUUCGAAAGGAAGAUUAAUACCCCAUAAUAUGUUGGAUGGCAUCAUUCGACAUUGAAAACUCCGGUGGAUAGAGAUGGGCACGCGCAAGAUUAGAUAGUUGGUGAGGUAACGGCUCACCAAGUCUGCGAUCUUUAGGGGGCCUGAGAGGGUGAUCCCCCACACUGGUACUGAGACACGGACCAGACUCCUACGGGAGGCAGCAGUGAGGAAUAUUGGACAAUGGGUGAGAGCCUGAUCCAGCCAUCCCGCGUGAAGGACGACGGCCCUAUGGGUUGUAAACUUCUUUUGUAUAGGGAUAAACCUACUCUCGUGAGAGUAGCUGAAGGUACUAUACGAAUAAGCACCGGCUAACUCCGUGCCAGCAGCCGCGGUAAUACGGAGGGUGCGAGCGUUAUCCGGAUUUAUUGGGUUUAAAGGGUCCGUAGGCGGAUCUGUAAGUCAGUGGUGAAAUCUCACAGCUUAACUGUGAAACUGCCAUUGAUACUGCAGGUCUUGAGUGUUGUUGAAGUAGCUGGAAUAAGUAGUGUAGCGGUGAAAUGCAUAGAUAUUACUUAGAACACCAAUUGCGAAGGCAGGUUACCAAGCAACAACUGACGCUGAUGGACGAAAGCGUGGGGAGCGAACAGGAUUAGAUACCCUGGUAGUCCACGCCGUAAACGAUGCUAACUCGUUUUUGGGCUCUCGGGUUCAGAGACUAAGCGAAAGUGAUAAGUUAGCCACCUGGGGGGUACGAACGCAAGUUUGAAACUCAAAGGAAUUGACGGGGGCCCGCACAAGCGGUGGAUUAUGUGGUUUAAUUCGAUGAUACGCGAGGAACCUUACCAAGGCUUAAAUGGGAAAUGACAGGUUUAGAAAUAGACUUUUCUUCGGACAUUUUUCAAGGUGCUGCAUGGUUGUCGUCAGCUCGUGCCGUGAGGUGUUAGGUUAAGUCCUGCAACGAGCGCAACCCCUGUCACUAGUUGCCAUCAUUAAGUUGGGGACUCUAGUGAGACUGCCUACGCAAGUAGAGAGGAAGGUGGGGAUGACGUCAAAUCAUCACGGCCCUUACGCCUUGGGCCACACACGUAAUACAAUGGCCGGUACAGAGGGCAGCUACACAGCGAUGUGAUGCAAAUCUCGAAAGCCGGUCUCAGUUCGGAUUGGAGUCUGCAACUCGACUCUAUGAAGCUGGAAUCGCUAGUAAUCGCGCAUCAGCCAUGGCGCGGUGAAUACGUUCCCGGGCCU